AUUACUCCUACGGGAGGCAGCAGUGGGGAAUAUUGCACAAUGGGCGCAAGCCUGAUGCAGCCAUGCCGCGUGUAUGAAGAAGGCCUUAGGGUUGUAAAGUACUUUCAGUUGGGAGGAAGGCGUUGAUGCUAAUAUCAUCAGCGAUUGACGUUACCAACAGAAGAAGCACCGGCUAACUCCGUGCCAGCAGCCGCGGUAAUAAU
rnacentral:rRNA from 1 species